AGAUUCACUCUGAACACUGCUCCCCUCAGUAUUGGUGCUCUGAUCUGUGCUUUUUUCCCAAAAUUCCCUCAGCACAGUAAUGAUAGCAGGUACCAUUUACAAGCCCUUUAUCAUCUCUAUGUACUAGCAGUAGAACCUCGACUGAUUGUUCCACGUCUUAUCGAUUCAAAUAAACCAGUCUACAUUAAUAUUAAAGUGAAAUUCAAGGACACUGAAUUUUAUGAAGAUGCAACAUUUUCUUUAAAAGCUCCUUGCUUGCUUCCAGAAUUGAAAUUUUUAGAAAAGGUUUAGUAAUCUUUCUAUUUUACGAUUAUGCCAUUCGUAAGUUUUGAUGUU